rnacentral:rRNA from 1 species
UGGUGGAGUGAUUUGUCUGGUUAAUUCCGAUAACGAACGAGACCUCAGCCUGCUAAAUAAGUCACGGGGUAGGGUUUACCCUCCUAUGCCGGAAGUACUUCUUAGAGGGACAAUUCGCCUCGAGCGGAUGGAAGUUAGAGGCAAUAACA